rnacentral:rRNA from 1 species
GUGACUCAGUUUAGGACACGGGAAAGCUCACCUGGCCCGGACACGGAAAGGAUUGACAGAUUGAUAGUUCUUUCUCAGUUCUGUGAGUGGUGGUGCAUGGCCAUUCUUAGUUGGUGGAGCGAUUUGUCUGGUUAAUUCCAAUAACGAACGAGACUCUGGCAUACUAACUAGUUAUGUGACCCCCAAGUGGAAGCUUUUAAUUGCUGAAGAACUACUGUAUUGCUGGAAGCCACCCAGAGUGGCUGGGGAAACCCAGCCAGAUGGGCGGGGUAUAAAUAUUAUUAUUAUUAUUAUUAUUAUUAUUAUUAAAUUCUUAUUAUUAUUCUCUGUAAAUGCUUAAGUGGUGCUACAGGGAACAAGAAAAGGAAU